UUAAAAUAAGGUUAAGUAUGGGGUAAAAAUAUAGACAAAAACGCACUUAUCAACUCCCCAACACUUAAACUUUUGCUUGUCCUCAAGCAAAGACAAG